CACGUAGGGCGCAAGCGUUGUCCGGAAUUAUUGGGCGUAAAGAGCUCGUAGGCGGUCUGUUGCGUCCGCUGUGAAAACUCGGGGCUUAACCCCGAGCCUGCAGUGGAUACGGGCAGACUAGAGGUAGGUAGGGGAGAAUGGAAUUCCCGGUGUAGCGGUGAAAUGCGCAGAUAUCGGGAGGAACACCGGUGGCGAAAGCGGCGCACUGGACCAUAACUGACGCUGAUGCGCGAAAGCUAGGGGAGCAAACAGGG
rnacentral:rRNA from 1 species